CAAUCUCAAACAAAAACCGAGUCCUGCUUGCGACCGCCGCACGAAUUGUGUACGUUCAGCUUGCUACUUCGGCCUCGAACGAGACCACCUAAUCACCGCUUGCCCACUCAUUGUGCACUCAUUGGACGGGAACUGAGACCCUAUUCGCAACCUUUGCUGCAGAUUAUGGCCUAUGCUCGACCCUGGCGUACCAGUGGUCGACCUUUCUUGAAGCCAGUUCCUACCUGAGCGCCGGAUAGUCAAUCAACCACUCCAUUGCCGAGUGGUUCUGCUGCUGCCCAUCGGCCGGACUCUCCCACUGGCCGGUGUGACCCUGACUCUGUGCCGGGUCUGAGGAUGCCCUCCGUCGUCACCCCUUAUAACGUGUUACCCGCGUUCGGACUACGUCGUUGCGGCGCACUCCCUGCUGCCGGAAGCCCAACAUUUGGAGAAAAUCGUCCCUUCUUCGCUUUCACUGCCAUGGACGUCUUUUUCGUGGCCGAUUGAUGCACGGUCGUCGGCGCCAUUAUGCAUCCCACGUUCGCAACAGGCCUUAAUAACCCGCAUUUCUCGAGCAUCCGCCAAACAGCGCAGACGACACUUUUGGGCUCCGAGUUGGAGCCCGGACGUCACCCAUGCCCGUCUGAUCUCACGCCAUCCCCUCUAACCUUAAGGACCACAUCGCCACCUUACGCGUCUAUAGUCCUCCUUGUGGCUACCGCUUCCGUCUAGAGACCCGGCAUUGACUGCGACUCCUCGCUUUCGCACCCCUCGCUUGUCCUAAUCUAUGGGACCAUCAGGUGCGGCAUUUGCAACCCUUGAUCUACAUCCCUGGUAAGGUGCCAAAGACACAGCGUCGAUUGCGUAAUUCAAGGGGCGGACCCCUCAUGCCAGCGUUCUGAUUUUGAGUUUCCUUAACUGCCCCCGGGCGUGUUCGCCGCCUCGUACGCCUAAUUAAGCUACGUUGCGCUUCUUGGAAUGGUUCCGAACUGUAUAUCUCCUUUGCACGACCUUUGUCAGCGGGGCGUUCCAGAGAUAUGUCCACCACGUACCAACAGCAGUCGAGCACAGCACUCUACAACCCAAUUCAGGGCGUUGCUCGCGUUGGGAGCAGGAUACAACGGUCGUGCAGUACCACCCUUGAGUACCCUCUGACGGCCCCAGUUGAGCCUCCUUCCACCCCUACUGCAGUUUAGUAGUACGGGGAAUACAGAACCCGAAGUGCGUACGAUGUUACCGGCCAUGUUUCCCGACGUUAUGGCAUUCCACCUCGCUUAGGGUUUUUCGGCCAGAGUCAAGCCUAACUCCAGACGUUGAGCUGGAGUACUUCAACCUCAGCGAUCAUUAGCACCUAGUCGUUGCGGUGCCACUUAUGCAAGGGCCCGGAACAUGUGUGGCGGGCAGUUCAGUACUUUCAGCCAUUGUGGGCUUCGGUCACCGGGUUGGCGUUCCUCCCUCGACAGCUUCCACCCUAGCCACUAAUCCUGAUUCAGCAGCAUUGUUCCCAUUGGGCAUUAGAGGGGUGG
rnacentral:rRNA from 1 species